GAUGAACGCUGGCGGCGUGCCUAACACAUGCAAGUCGAACGGAACUAUUUUGGAAACUCCUUCGGGAGCGGAAUCUUUAGUUUAGUGGCGGACGGGUGAGUAACGCGUGAGCAAUCUGCCUUUAAGAGGGGGAUAACAGUCGGAAACGGCUGCUAAUACCGCAUAAAGCAUUGAAUUCGCAUGUUUUCGAUGCCAAAGGAGCAAUCCGCUUUUAGAUGAGCUCGCGUCUGAUUAGCUGGUUGGCGGGGUAACGGCGCACCAAGGCGACGAUCAGUAGCCGGAGUGAGAGGUUGAACGGCCACAUUGGGACAGAGACACGGCCCAGACUCCUACGGGAGGCAGCAGUGGGGAAUAUUGCGCAAUGGGGGAAACCCUGACGCAGCAGCGCCGCGUGAUUGAAGAAGGCCUGCGGGUUGUAAAGAUCUUUAAUUCGGGACGAAAUUUGACGGUACCGAAAGAAUAAGCUCCGGCUAACUACGUGCCAGCCGCCGCGGUAA
rnacentral:rRNA from 1 species